AUUGAACGCUGGCGGCAGGCUUAACACAUGCAAGUCGAGCGGGGUGAUGGUGCUUGCACUAUCACUUAGCGGCGGACGGGUGAGUAAUGCUUAGGAAUCUGCCUAUUAGUGGGGGACAACAUCUCGAAAGGGAUGCUAAUACCGCAUACGUCCUACGGGAGAAAGCAGGGGAUCACUUGUGACCUUGCGCUAAUAGAUGAGCCUAAGGCGGAUUAGCUGGGUGGUGGGGUAAAGGCCUACCAAGGCGACGAUCUGUAGCGGGUCUGGAAGGGAGGACCGGCACACUUGGAAUGGGGCAACGGCCAGAAUCCCUACGGGGGGAGCAGUGGGGAAAAUUUGAACAAGGGGGGAACCCUGAUCCAGCCAUGCCGCGGGUGUGAAGAAGGCCUUAUGGUUGUAAAACACUUUAAGCGAGGAGGAGGCUCUUUUGGUUAAUACCCAAGAUGAGUGGACGUUACUCGCAGAAUAAGCACCGGCUAACUCUGUGCCAGCAGCCGCCGUAA
rnacentral:rRNA from 1 species